CUGCUUGCAUACUAAUGCAAAACUUUUUAAGAAAACACAAUUUUCUAAAAGGCCAAAGAUAUAUAGACAUAGAGAGAGAGAGAGAGAGAGAGAGAGAGAG